UACGGGGGGGAGCAAGCGUUUGUUCGGAUUUACUGGGCGUAAAGGGCGCGUAGGCGGUCGUGACAAGUCACUUGUGAAAUCUCCGGGCUUAACUCGGAACGGUCAAGUGAUACUGUCGGACUAGAGUACAGAAGGGGCAACUGGAAUUCUCGGUGUAGCGGUGAAAAUGCGUAGAUAUCGAGAGGAACACCUGCGGCGAAGG
rnacentral:rRNA from 1 species